UACGUAGGUGGCAAGCGUUGUCCGGAUUUACUGGGCGUAAAGAGCGCGCAGGCGGUCGGAUAAGUCGAAUGUGAAAGCCCCCGGCUUAACUGGGGAGGGUCAUUCGAUACUGUUCGACUGGAAGGCAGGAGAGGGAAGCGGAAUUCCCGGUGUAGUGGUGAAAUGCGUAGAUAUCGGGAGGAACACCAGUGGCGAAGGCGGCUUCCUGGCCUGUUCUUGACGCUGAGGCGCGAAAGCUAGGGGAGCAAACGGG
rnacentral:rRNA from 1 species